GAGUGGAUCCCGUGCGGCGUCCAUCUCACGAACCUCCCCAGGGCCGGAAGGCAGCAAGGAUAAGCGAGCUCUGACGGGUGCACGGGAUCCGCUCACU
rnacentral:SRP_RNA from 1 species